ACUGCUUCACGGCCUUUUGGUUAAGAUCAAGUGAAGUGUCUGUUCUUAUCAGUUUAAUUGUUUAAAAUUAUUAUUAUUAUUAUUAUUAUUAUUAUUUUAUGUGUGAGUGUAUUGCCUGCAUAUAUGUAGGUGCAUCCAUUUCAUGUAAUGCCCACAGAGGUCAGAAGAGAGCAUCAGAUCCCCU